ensembl:lncRNA
AAAAGUAAGGACUUGGCACGUUCUAGGUUGUGCAGCAUAAGCUGGGCAACAAUGUGAGCUGCAGCCUUUGCCUGAAGGAAGCAGAAUGAAGAAGCCUUUGUGUAGACUCGCAUCAGGUCUCCCAUGCUAAGAUUGCAUUGACCUUCACGAGGUGCCUGGAGGAGCAACUGCUGGAGUUGACAGGACCCUGUGUAUGCCAGCGUCUGUGGAGGUUCAGGGCUGUGUAACAGCUCACGACAUCUGCUCCAUCAUGAUGCCAAACAUCUUCAGCAAGAAAAUGGAACAGUGGCUCAACCUGCAGCUCUGCCAGAACAGCCUCCAUCUCUCUCUCCAUCAAGGUGAGCAAGGUCUGUUUCCUACCAGAGCUCGUUCUGUAGCACAUCUACAAAAGAGUGCAGUUUUUUGUGAGUUGACCCUAUUUGUAAGACCACAAACCACCCUCACAUGCCUGACACGAUGCACCAUGUCAGCAGCGACGGGAUGGAGUUGGGAAAAGCUCUGCAGGGCACAGAUGAAAUGCUCCCUGCUCUUGGUAAGACGAGGAGUGAUAACAAUAUUAUCCGGGAACUUUCCCCUUCCGCCUACCACUGCCACCUCCUCUCUCUCAAAAACACAAACAAGACAACCUGAUUUACAUGUUCAUAGCUGGGAGUGAUUGCCAGCUUAAUGAGCACUGCUAUUUAUAUCUAAAUAAUUGCACUCCUAAACAACUGCUUGGGGGGCAUCAGGAUGGAGGGAAAGAUUCUGUGCCAUGGUUUGAAGGGAUUCAGGCAGAUGUUGUCAGAAGGAGGAAUGCACAUCUCAUCCAAACUGCAAAAACAUUUUAAUGUGUUUUAGACAAACGGAGGGAAGCUGAACAAAGAGAGGCAUUGGAGCAGUGACACCGUAUAUGCAGACUUGGCACGCUUGCCAACAUGCACCAGCCUGCACCUAUUCAUAAUAACUCCUUUUGCUAAACACUUCCUUUGACCACCUCAGGUGUGGCAGCCCUAUAUGGGACAUGGGCAGCACUCUGUGCCACCUAACCCCAUGGGUUCCCAGUGCUGUCCCCAGCCCAGUGCACAAGGCAGUCCUCGCACAGCAGCUCUCCCUGCGCUGCUUUGGCUGAAUUUCUGCUGAGUGAAUCUCUUGGCUCAGUGCAGAGCUUGCAAGGCCACUUAAAUCUCUCUGACCCUUUAAUGAAGUUUUUAAAAGGGCUUCAUAAAUCUUCAUCACUAAGAAUUGCUUAAAGCCCCGCAGGAUUCCUCCAGUGGAAUUAACCACUAAAACAAGUAGACAGGCUCAGGUAUAUUUAUCACAUUCAUCUUCAUUAUUCCAUGAGUUUUCCUUCUUUCUCCUCUUAUAAAUAAGCUACAGCCAGGAAAGGGAGCAACAACUCAGUAUCACUCAUCCAGUUGCUUGUAACCUUCCACUACAGCUGAGUGAGAUCAGUCCUCUUCUUGAGUAUGCUUUCCGUGCAGGCAGCAUCUGCAUGCCCAUCUUUUACCCUUCCAUGUUUAAACCAUCAUAUUGCUCCUCACUCAGGAAGGCACCUGAUUUUUUGUCUUUCAUAUAAAAGCAUGCCUCGGGUCACAACAUGUCAGCUCCAAAAUGGAUCGGUUACCUGCCGGCCCUUCUCUUUUUUUCCUUAGAAUUUUGGCUGACUUUGGCAAUCCUUUUUUGAGAGGAAUGCCAAUCACCUCUGAAACAACUGCCAAUUUGGUGGCUAUGUGAGGGUCACUAGGAAAACACACUGUUUUUAAAAAAUUGCCUCCGUACCAUAUCAUGGUUUCCAGAGGGAACAUGUAGAUUCUGUAUGCUCUGGGUGGGCUUUUUGAUGCUUCACCUCAGGGGAAUGAGGACAGAAAAGACAUGAAUGAGAUUCACAGGUGAACAGAUAACCCAGUGGAGGUAAAGUCAGUGAAAACAGUGGGAGUGUUCCCUCCUCAUGUGAUGCUCAUGAAGGACUGCAGGUCUUCAAGAUACAGCCCAAUCCAGCCAAUCUUGAGCCACCUUUCAGGACAAUUUCAUCACAAAAUCAUGCUUUAAUGA